UUUAUUUACUAAAAGACAUUUCACAACAGUCAUAGGUACCAACCAUGGUAAAAAAGUGGUGUCGAGUCAUGCGUUCGAAUCGUAGCACCUACAAUUUUGUUUUUUAUUUAUUUUUAAGCCACUUUCACCACAUUUGAAACUUCCAACCGUGGUGAAAAGUGACGCCUGAUCAUGAGUUCGAAUCCUAGCACCUACAAUUUUGUUUUUAUUUAUUUAUUAAAAACGGUUGUUUAAAGU
rnacentral:lncRNA from 1 species